UACGUAGGUGGCGAGCGUUGUCCGGAAUUACUGGGCGUAAAGGGUGCGUAGGCGGUUUAUUAAGUCAGAUGUGAAAUUCCAGGGCUUAACCUUGGAAUUGCAUUUGAAACUGGUAGGCUAGAGUGCAGGAGAGGAAAGCGGAAUUCCUAGUGUAGCGGUGAAAUGCGUAGAUAUUAGGAAGAACACCAGUGGCGAAGGCGGCUUUCUGGACUGUAACUGACGCUGAGGCACGAAAGCGUGGGGAGCAAAC
rnacentral:rRNA from 1 species